rnacentral:lncRNA from 1 species
UCCUCUCAAAUCCAUCUUGUAAGUAAUAUAUUUAUAGUUUUAAUGUCUUUUCACCUUAUGGCAUGUUGUUAAUGUAUGUCCUUUUUUGCCUUGUGUUACACUUCUCCUAUAAUAAACUCCUAGUAUUAUGUGUAAACAUGGGUCUAGUUGGCUAGUGUGAUUGUUCUUAGACCAAAUAUUUAUCUCUGGUUUGCAAACUCAGUCUCAAAGUAUGUAUGACUGAAAUCUUCUGAUGUCAAAAAAUAAAAAUAUUGACCAAGAUUUCUUCAUCUUUAUUUGUUGCAGUGACAACCAUAGCACUGCUGCCUCAGUAGAUCUCUUAAAUACUAAUGCACCUGCAGGGGCAAUGGUUCAGGAUGGAAUUGUGUUUAUCUUCCAGGACAUAUAUGUCUUCUUAAAGCACCAUCAAUUGUUAUGUACAUCUGGCCGUGACAUUUCCAUUAUUAACAAAAUGCACCCCAUUUAGCUAGAAAAAAAAAUAAAAAAAUUGUAACCGGAUAUUUAGCUAUAAUCAAAAGAGAAAGCAAGUGUUGGCAGUGUGACUUCUCACUCCUCUGCUGGAGUUUGUUCUGUUUCCGGUAAGCUUUUGUUAGUGAAUUUACACGAUUACACCAGAUGGCCAUGCCAGAUGGGGCAGUGAGCAUAGUUGUGUAAGCCUUGGACUUAAUUUUCUAGUAGUUUUCUAGUCAUGAUUUUGGAAUCUAUAACAUUAAUUUCACAAUAUUAUCAAAAUCAAGUCUUGUUGCUGCAAAU